GCAAAAGCCUGUGCUUUGGUCCUUUGUGUAACAAAAAGCGUAAUAUUCUCUUCGUUACUUUCAAUGCCACUUUCCUCCAGAUAGCGGUUGACACGAAGCUGAACGUCCAAUAGGAGGGCUCGUUUUCAAACAAUAGUUGGGUUAUCUCAUUGGACCGGAAGUUUCAUCAGCGAGCGAACUUAAAAAUCCCCCACAUGUUAGCCAUCUUUAGCCCGGGGGUGGAGGGGAUCGACGACAAGAACGACUGAGCGAGUACCGCGUCUAAGUGUACACUACCGCGAUCUAAUUAAUGACAUAAUUAACCGCGAAGCGCGAUUCCUCGUCACUCGGUUUUUCCCGCGUCGUUUUUCUUGCUGCUCAGCUUUAUUCUCGAAGACGAGUCCCGCAACUUUGAGCAAGAAGACCAGAAAGCAUACAUCCUCCUAAUAAUUCCUACCUGCACGGCGCUCUUAGCACGUCGCGGGAUAUUCUCUCCCCUCGGCGCGCCGGUCGUUUCUACAGGACAGGCUGACACCCCGUUUUGAUUUCUACCUAUCUAUCUACCUAUCUAUCUACUUCUGUCUUGUCUAUUUAUCAUGACACUCUGGUGAUUAACUCGAGAGAAAGAUAGUCGAUCGAGAAACGCGGAAAGCUCGUCACAUCCCUCUGGAUAGGCUCCUUAAGCGCAAUUCCACGAGCUGUAAUCCGAGAGAGGUGGCCUCUCCGGAUAACGAGAAACGCCGGUACACCUGCCAGAGCCUGUUCCUCGACGUUCCCAGCGAACGCGCUUUCGCGCACACCGCGGAAAUAAAAGCUUUCAAUGCGAAAGGACGGUCGUAUACCGCGAAAGUAGUAGAUCGGGACGUUGGUCGAGCAAAGCGACAAGGGACUUGAGCUGGACCCACUGUCGAAGAAAAGGGGAAACAGAAGGCGCAGCGUUUGUCGAAACUUUGGAACGCGAGGUCUCUCAGCGGCACCCUGACCCGUCCUUCUCACUCAAGACAGGUUCCUCGAUCAACACGACGAAUGAAGGAUGCACCACGACUUCCGGAUAAAUCUCGACGUUUUAUUUGUGCGCACAAACACACACAAGCGAUCUUCCUCACGAAUUAUUAGAUUAUUGAGAUCGCGAGACACGGUGCCACACAGAGGUUUACCACACGCACGCACGAUAUACGUGGCGCGAAUACAUCGCAGUGCGUGCGCUCGCGACAAAAGCGAGGAGGGUGGAGAGCCGAACAAAUAAAUGCUGAAAAGAGGAACAAAACCGACAUUAUGUGGCAUUAACAUACAAAGUAUGUCAGACCCGCGAUCCGCAGGCAUAACAUAGUAUCGCGCGGCAUACGCUCGCAUACCCCGCCUGCUUUUCGC